AAUGGGGGAAACCCUGACGCAGCAACGCCGCGUGAGUGAAGAAGGUCUUCGGAUUUUAAAGCUCUGUCUUCUCUGACGAUGAUGACGGUAAGAGAGGAGGAAGCCACGGCUAACCACGUGCCAGCAGCCGCGGUAAUACGUAGGUGGCGAGCGUUGUCCGGAUUUACUGGGCGUAAAGGACGCGUAGGCGGAUAUAUAAGUGGGAUGUGAAAUACCCGGGCUUAACUUGGGUGCUGCAUUCCAAACUGUAUAUCUAGAGUGCAGGAGAGGAAAGUGGAAUUCCUAGUGUAGCGGUGAAAUGCGUAGAGAUUAGGAAGAACACCAGUGGCGAAGGCGACUUUCUGGACUGUAACUGACGCUGAGGCAUGAAAGCGUGGGGAGUAAA
rnacentral:rRNA from 1 species